rnacentral:miRNA from 1 species
GCAGACACAUUCCAGCCAAUCAGCAGCAGACCCUCCCUCCCAGACCCUCCACCUCCUGGACAGCUCACUAAGAAUGCAGCUUCACAAUGAAUGUAAAAUGGAUGCUGUCCAGGAGGUGGGAGGGUCUGGGAGGGAGGGUCUGCUGCUGAUGGGCUGGAAUGUGUCUG